AUGCUGACCGUGGUGAACUGUCAAUCCCUACUGGAGAUGGAACUACCGCUGUCACAACCCGCUUUAUCAAGGGUGUUGACAAAAAGGGCCACCAUUACUAAAGGCUGGAGCAACUUCUUCCGUCACGCACACAUGAACAAAGGACAAGCAUAUGCUUUCGCCUUCAAAUGCACUUUCAAGGGACUGCGUCUGAUCAUCUACUCAAUAUAA
rnacentral:rRNA from 1 species